AUCGAUCAUGAAGUCCCAUCUCUAAGCCAAUCAGAGUUCAAAAUAGCUUAAAAUCCUGCGUUGGUGGAAGGUUUUUUCUUAACUUGGCUCCUUAAAUAAACAGAUAACAUUAUAAAAAUAAUAUGGAGAAGGACAUUAAUUAUUGCGGAUCACAAUUACGAAACCUAUUUAUAACUGCAGAUCACCACAAAGUUAAAAACAUCCAUGAAAAGCAGCCUCAAGCCGUCACGACAUAGGGACGCCGCUCGAUUGGGAAGUUAGAAACCAUUUUUUUGGGUAAUUUCGCCCACAGAAAGUGCUAAAGAUUAUUCUGAUUGGAUUUGUUUAGACCAAGGUGUCUCAAAAUGGCGUGCUUGUUUGUGGGGUUGUGUUUGACGCCCUUUUUCAAAAAUGAAAUAAGUUUUAAACACCAUGGAAAUCAAGAGGAACAAUAUUAGCACGAUUUUUAAACUAUAAAA